CCAGGCGAUACUGAUAGACGGACAAUAGGAAAAUCAAGGACGUCCAUUGUGCGCCGCGUUCCGAGAUUUUAUGGUCGAUCACGUAUGUAACGAGGAAUGUCUUUAAGUUCUUUUUACACGUGAAACGCUCUGCUGAACCGUCGAUUCAAAAGGGAAUAAUUACGAUUCGACGAGGGAAAUGUAAAAAAUGGCGCUGGAUCUCUAUGUAUAAACUGGUUUCAGUUGCAUCCCAAGCAAAAGAGAUUUCUUCUUUUGUAAUAAGUGUGCGCAAUGUACGCCGUAAUUCUAGAGUUUGGAAUGUUUUUAGAGAUGUUCUUUUCCUAGCAUCCUCUUUAACAUGCAGACAGGGGAAUAUUUGAAUAAAUUUUGAUGAAUAGAAAACAGAUACAUCGCGAAAAUACGUGUAUAGUAUUUUAGUUGUUAAUAGAUUACUGUUGGAGAAUAAUGUUUUAAUUAUUGUGUGAUUUUAAGUGAUGCAUCUGUUUUGUGGUAUGUGAAUAUUGUUGAAUUGUAUUCAAGUGGUUAAGUGGUUCAGUUUAUCAAUUAAUCUGAUAUGCAUAAGAAUCUUUAUUUUCUCAUAGCGAAACAAGUUAAAAAAAAGAAAACAUUGAAG
rnacentral:misc_RNA from 1 species